ACCUGGAAACACCCAAGGAACAAAGACUGAACUGGGGGGAGUGAUGGUCCCAGGGUAAAAUAAUUUCUACCCUGAGAAACCCAAGCUGCAAAGUCAAGGCAGCUUCUGCCUUAAGAAUCUGCCAGUCUGUUUAUCACUCAGGAUGAAAAUUUGCUGGUUUAUAUCCUACCUAUCUACUGUGUUAAGGCCAGUUUGCAGUUUUGUUUAUUUACUAGAGAUCCAUCACCACCCACAACAGCUAUGUGGCAACAUGUCACCACAAUUUACAAAGGAAAACAUCACAAUUCUCCCGAGAUGAAAUUUGCAGCUUCUUGGAGCCCUAGUCAUAGACCCAGACCCCGCUGUAGGUGUUAUAGAAUCACAGAACAGAAAGAUGGCUCUGGCCCCAAAGGAUUACAAUCUAAGUAUAAGACAGGAGACAACAGAUGGAUAUAGACAGACAUCCACAGUGUGGCAGGUACUAUCC